UAACGCUGCCUAAUUUUGCCAAAAUCC
rnacentral:piRNA from 1 species